GAUGAACGCUGGCGGCGUGCCUAAUACAUGCAAGUCGAGCGAACGGACGAGAAGCUUGCUUCUCUGAUGUUAGCGGCGGACGGGUGAGUAACACGUGGAUAACCUACCUAUAAGACUGGGAUAACUUCGGGAAACCGGAGCUAAUACCGGAUAAUAUUUUGAACCGCAUGGUUCAAAAGUGAAAGACGGUCUUGCUGUCACUUAUAGAUGGAUCCGCGCUGCAUUAGCUAGUUGGUAAGGUAACGGCUUACCAAGGCAACGAUGCAUAGCCGACCUGAGAGGGUGAUCGGCCACACUGGAACUGAGACACGGUCCAGACUCCUACGGGAGGCAGCAGUAGGGAAUCUUCCGCAAUGGGCGAAAGCCUGACGGAGCAACGCCGCGUGAGUGAUGAAGGUCUUCGGAUCGUAAAACUCUGUUAUUAGGGAAGAACAUAUGUGUAAGUAACUGUGCACAUCUUGACGGUACCUAAUCAGAAAGCCACGGCUAACUACGUGCCAGCAGCCGCGGUAAUACGUAGGUGGCAAGCGUUAUCCGGAAUUAUUGGGCGUAAGCGCGCGUAGGCGGUUUUUUAGUCUGAUGUGAAAGCCCACGGCUCAACCGUGGAGGGUCAUUGGAAACUGGAAAACUUGAGUGCAGAAGAGGAAAGUGGAAUUCCAUGUGUAGCGGUGAAAUGCGCAGGGAUAUGGAGGAACACCAGUGGCGAAGGCGACUUUCUGGUCUGUAACUGACGCUGAUGUGCGAAAGCGUGGGGAUCAAACAGGAUUAGAUACCCUGGUAGUCCACGCCGUAAACGAUGAGUGCUAAGUGUUAGGGGGUUUCCGCCCCUUAGUGCUGCAGCUAACGCAUUAAGCACUCCGCCUGGGGAGUACGACCGCAAGGUUGAAACUCAAAGGAAUUGACGGGGACCCGCACAAGCGGUGGAGCAUGUGGUUUAAUUCGAAGCAACGCGAAGAACCUUACCAAAUCUUGACAUCCUUUGACAACUCUAGAGAUAGAGCCUUCCCCUUCGGGGGACAAAGUGACAGGUGGUGCAUGGUUGUCGUCAGCUCGUGUCGUGAGAUGUUGGGUUAAGUCCCGCAACGAGCGCAACCCUUAAGCUUAGUUGCCAUCAUUAAGUUGGGCACUCUAAGUUGACUGCCGGUGACAAACCGGAGGAAGGUGGGGAUGACGUCAAAUCAUCAUGCCCCUUAUGAUUUGGGCUACACACGUGCUACAAUGGACAAUACAAAGGGCAGCGAAACCGCGAGGUCAAGCAAAUCCCAUAAAGUUGUUCUCAGUUCGGAUUGUAGUCUGCAACUCGACUACAUGAAGCUGGAAUCGCUAGUAAUCGUAGAUCCGCAUGCUACGGUGAAUACGUUCCCGGGUCU
rnacentral:rRNA from 1 species